AAAUAGAAAACCCUGCCGCUCAUGUGUCGCGGCUGGUUAGGAAAAAACUCUGAUUAACAUGGAAAAGAUGCCUUUUAUCGCGUGUCGCGACGUCAUGUAGCACACGGUGUCAGACUCCAUCCCAGCAGGUGGCGGAAAUGCACCAAAAGCUGGUUUGCCAACCGGCAGAAACAUCAAAGAAGAAAGAGGAAUGACGUUGAAAUAACACGGACUGAUGGCUUCAACAGGAGCUUAUACUAUCAAUUAACAAUCUCGGAGCUCACGGUCUGAUCUUCACUACCACACAGUGAUUCUGAAUCCACAUUUAGAGAAAUUCACCAGUAAAUGCUCUGAAUAAUCCUGUCAUCUUUGAAUCAAAGACACAUUUCCAGAAGAGCAGCACAAACUUCAAGUGUGUCAACAAUUUCUGACAUACUACAGCAAAGAUGGACUUUAUUAAAGAGGAGAGAGAGGACACGGGUUAUCCAGAAAUAUACAUAGUGAAAAUUGAAGAUACUGAGGAACAAACAGGUACAAAGGUCUGAUCACCAUUCAUUUGCAUUGUGAGGACCUACAGAGCUGAGAUAUUCCUCUAAAAAUCUUCGUUUGUGUUCUGCAGAAGAAAGAAAGUCAUACACAUCUGUGAUGGCAUGAGGGCCUGAUGGAGGUAAAAACGGAAAGUCAAGAACUAAAUGAAGUGGAGGAGGAACAAUGGUAUCAGAAUCCUCAUAAAUUCAUAACUGAAGUAAAAUAUUUGAGUUGCUCACAGACUGAAAAUAAUUCUUCACAACAAACUGAAAGGACAGAAGCCACAGAUUGUUUCACCUGCCCUUAUUGUGAAAAGAGUUUCACACGUAGAUCAACCCUAAAGGAACACAUAAGAAUACACACUGGAGAGAAUCCUUUCACUUGUGCUCAGUGUGGAAAUAGUUUCAGACAAAAAGGACAACUUACCAGUCACAUGAGAAUUCACUCUGAAGAGAAGCCUUACACAUGCUCUCAGUGUGGAAAGAGUUUCUCACGGAAAGACAACCUUAAAAGGCACAUGAUCGUUCACACUAGAGAGAUGCUUUUCACAUGCAAUCUGUGUGGACAGAGAUUAAAAUAUUUAAAAGGACAAUGUCAUUUUCACUCUCUGCACCCUGGAGCAAACAUAUUAAACUGUGAUCAGUGCGAUAAAAGUUUGAUCUCGGAAUCAGACCUGCAAAUUCACAAGAAGCCCCAUUUGUGCUCUUUCUGUGGAAAGAGGUUUUCAUGCCUGAACUGUUUCGAGGAACACCAGGAAAUUCAUACAUUUGGGAAAACGUAUGCAUGCCCUGAGUGCGGUGAUGUGUUCAGAGGAGCCGGCAACUUGAAAUUACACCAGAGAGUUCAUGUUAAAGAAACAAAUUAAAAGUGUUUAUAAUGUGUGUAGAGUUUCAAUCUUUACAGUCUUCAAGUGGGAAGUUUCACCACAUCGUGCAGCCAACUGAAAAAAAGCAUUGUGGAAAAAUGUCACUGUGAGCUGCUCUUCAGGUUCAUCUUCAGGUCCAAUGCUUUGUAUAGUGUGAAUUUCAGGUAAACCUAAAGAUGAGUGAAAUUGUGAGAGUUUGAAAAAGAGUUUUUAGGAAUGCCUUUCUGUUAUGAUGGGUAGUAGCAGUGAUAGAAAUGUCAAUUAUUGUAAUGUCUCAGUUUAAUUUGUUACAUUUUGUUCACUGUUGAAAGGUGCUGAUGCAUUGAGGAUUUGAGAAUGGAACAGACUUUCUUGCAUUAAAAUCAUGUAUAUAGAGGCUUAACCAUUCAGCUACACUUACUGUGUAAAUUAAAAAUUAUGCAAAAAUAUGUACUGUAUAAUGAAGUUUAUUCUGGUUAUUCCAGUAUUCCUAUUAAAUUUAUGCUUUGUUAAAAAAAAGUCUAACUUGGGCAUGGACCGCCACAAUUUAAAAAAGAGAGCUAACUGUUUUUAGCUAACUUUUGAAGGCUUCUCCUUUCUGGAACUAACAGGCAGAAACCGAAACUGUGUGUGUGUGUUUCUUAAACUGUGUAGCAACAAAUGUGUAGCAUACAAAAUUACAAGUUAAAGGUUGUUAUCAUAAAAAAAUUAGAACAACACUUUCAUUAUAAAUGGGAUAUUUGUUGCAAUCUUUAGAGCAUUAGAAUCAUAAAAGUAUGUUAAAAGUUAUCCUACUAAAACCUUAGAACACCAGGCUUCUAUAGGCUUCUUUCUGCCCUGCUGUAAUCUCCAUGCAUGGCUUUCCUACCUCCACAAUCUCUCAGCUGGAUCAGAACUGGUCUUGCACACCAGACUCAUCACAGUUCCACAGGUACAAAGGAACAUCUAUUAUGCCCUGUUGCUCCAAGAGGGCCUCAAAGUGGUCAAAACAUUUGCCCACCACUUCAGGAUUGAGGUCUGCAGCUGAAAGAGGUUCUGGUUUUCGAAUAUUAAAAUCAGGAUUACGACAGAUAAUUUUCACACCAGUAAUAUCCGACUUUGCCUUUGGCCUCUGAGAAACCAUGAAUUUGAUUAACCUUUGCAUAUAGUCAUCUACCUGGCACUGCACAAUUUUUUUUUGUUGCAGGAAAUACUGUUUGUCACAAGCUCUCUUUCUGCCUCUUCAGGGCUCACAGGCUCUCUGCCAGAGGCAUGGUAGAAGCCAGUAAUUUUGCCAACGAUUCGUAUUUGUAGGGUGACCCUAGGGAUGUUCCAAGCUCUUGACAGAAAUCGAACAUUUGGGGUUUGCCUUCAUUUUACCAGUUUGUUGUACUCCACUGAGUGCUCAUUUCAUUCUCUCUUCACUCCACUGAUUAAAUCUUUUUAUUUCUUUCUUUUCAUACUUCUUGGCAUUAUGUCUGGGGAAAAAAUGAGUAUGGUGUUGUAAACAUGAAUGAUUUUGUAUUUAGUAAUAUAAAAUAUUAAGAUGAGCAGUAACAAAAUACAUGA